rnacentral:lncRNA from 1 species
GCAGCACCAAUAUCUACAAUCCAUUUAGAACUCUUUGCCUCAGUGCAAACGUAAUUACCUGCCCAUUUUUGCACAAGCACCAUAGUUACCUGCCAUAUUUGCAGUGACGAUGUUGUCAUUUACAUUGUUCUUUUGCAGCAAAUGUAGAAUCUGUGUAUACUAUUCAUGAGUAAACACUUGAGGAGAUACAACUGAACUAUUCCCCUGCCAAGUACCUCCCUGUGUACCAGUUGCCGCAUGUGCUACAUUAUGAUGGAAUUGUGAUCCAACUCCUUCUACAAACUGCAAUCCAACUCCUUCAACUUGCACUGCAUUGGCUCUACGUUUCCCUUUGAACUUAGAGGGAUAUCCCAUAAAUUUAUAACAGGUUUUCCUUACAUGUCGUGGCUUAUUACAAAACUCACAUUUUAUCAAUUUGUAAUAUUGAUCUUUUGUGUGUCCUUUUAGGUGGCAGUGAUCACAUUGUAAAUUAUAAUUUUUCUUUGACUUUUGAAUCA